rnacentral:rRNA from 1 species
GUGUCAGCAGCCGCGGUAAUACAGAGGGUACAAGCGUUGUUCGGAAUUAUUGGGCGUAAAGCGCGCGUAGGCGGUCUAGAUAGUCAGAUGUGAAAGCCCUGGGCUCAACCCAGGAAUUGCGUUUGAUACUGUUAGGCUAGAGACUUAGAGAGGUGAGUGGAAUUCCUAGUGUAGAGGUGAAAUUCGUAGAUAUUAGGAGGAACACCAGUGGCGAAAGCGACUCACUGGCUAAGCACUGACGCUAAGGCGCGAAAGCGUGGGGAGCAAACAGGAUUAGAUACCCUUGUAGUCC